UAUGAAUAACAUUAUCCAUUCGCCAGGUGUACUUCAGCAGUGGGUUGGUCGUCGUUAGACGGUUUCGUGUUUUCGUUCGGUGGUCUCACUAAAAGCAAGCGGGAUUCGUAUUUUAUCGCGCUGUUUAACCAUAGAAAGCUGAACUCCUGGUCUUCACUCUUAAUUUCGACUACAUCAAGAAUACGGCAACCAUAUAUUGAUGUCUUGCUGCUCCGUUGGUAACUAUUUUUGACACAAUGUGUAGGUACUGCUGGUUUGAAGGUAAACAACUUUGACCAGAACGGAAGUAAGUGGGUAAAAGUGCUAACACUUGUAUGCAGUACCCACUGUCUCCUUGUCCGCCUAUAUAUGGAAUGUUAGUAUUGCUGCCAGCAAGCUCUUAUAAUAUCAAACUGCUAAAACUGAUUGCAUGCAGAUUUGGGUACUUUUCUGAAGGUCCUCGAGUUGAAGCGGGCGUGUGGGAUGUGUAAUUGUAAAUUAAAUAUGGGUUUUGUAAA